UACGUAGGGUGCGAGCGUUAAUCGGAAUUACUGGGCGUAAAGCGUGCGCAGGCGGUUUUUUAAGCCAGAUGUGAAAUCCCCGGGCUUAACCUGGGAACUGCGUUUGAAACUACAAGGCUAGAGUGUGGCAGAGGGGGGUGGAAUUCCACGUGUAGCAGUGAAAUGCGUAGAGAUGUGGAGGAACACCGAUGGCGAAGGCAGCCCCCUGGGUUAACACUGACGCUCAGGCACGAAAGCGUGGGGAGCAAACAGG
rnacentral:rRNA from 1 species